rnacentral:rRNA from 1 species
UACGUAGGGUCCAAGCGUUAAUCGGAAUUACUGGGCGUAAAGCGUGCGCAGGCGGCCGUAUAAGCUUGAUGUGAAAUCCCCGGGCUCAACCUGGGAACUGCAUUGAGGACUGUAUAGCUAGAGUGCGGCAGAGGGGGGUAGAAUUCCACGUGUAGCAGUGAAAUGCGUAGAGAUGUGGAGGAAUACCGAUGGCGAAGGCAGCCCCCUGGGUCGACACUGACGCUCAUGCACGAAAGCGUGGGGAGCAAACAGG